rnacentral:tRNA from 1 species
GAAGGUAUAGCUCAAGUGGUAGAGUGCAUGCUUAGCAUCUAUGAGGUCCUGGGUUCAAUCCCCAGUAAUUCUC